GUGUCAGCAGCCGAGGUAAUACGGAGGAGGCAAGCGUUAUCCGGAAUUAUUGGGCGUAAAGCGUCCGUAGGUGGUUGUUCAAGUCUUCUGUCAAAGCGCGGAGCUUAACUCCGUAAAGGCAGAGGAAACUGAGCGGCUAGAGUGCGAUAGGGGCAGAGGGAAUUCCCAGUGUAGCGGUGAAAUGCGUAGAUAUUGGGAAGAACACCGGUGGCGAAAGCGCUCUGCUGGGUCUGCACUGACACUGAGGGACGAAAGCUAGGGGAGCGAAAGGGAUUAGAUACCCCUGUAGUCCUAGCUGUAAACGAUGGGUACUAGGCGUUGUCCGUAUCGACCCGGGCAGUGCCGUAGCUAACGCGUUAAGUACCCCGCCUGGGGAGUACGCUCGCAAGAGUGAAACUUAAAGGAAUUGACGGGG
rnacentral:rRNA from 1 species